rnacentral:rRNA from 1 species
UACGUAGGGAGCAAGCGUUGUCCGGAAUCAUUGGGCGUAAAGCGUGCGCAGGCGGCGCGUUAAGACAGGUGUGAAAGCCCCGAGCUUAACUUGGGAAUUGCGCUUGUGACUGGCGUGCUGGAGUGUGGCAGAGGGAGGUGGAAUUCCACGUGUAGCAGUGAAAUGCGUAGAGAUGUGGAGGAACACCGAUGGCGAAGGCAGCCUCCUGGGCCAGCACUGACGCUCAUGCACGAAAGCGUGGGGAGCAAACAGG